GAACACAGCAACACGGCAAUGGCCAAUACGAAGGCCCUUCUUCUCAUAUUCAGAAACAGUGUGUGUGAAUGUGAAAUCUCUGCGAUUGAAUUGAAGUAUGGUGAUGGUGAAGGUGGGUGGAUAUAGCGGUUGGACGUGUUGAGGAGCUGAGAAGGUGUUGAAUACCGGGUCAAUCCUCUGCGGAAGAGAGAGCGAGAGAGAAGCGGAGGCUCUUGUUUUGGGGGGGACCCUAUGGAGUUGCCGGCACGGAAACACUGCCCUGCUGUGCUGUCUGUGUGCGCUGUGUUUCUCUCUUUUUUAAAUUACUUUUGUCGAACAAUUGGUUUGAAAACAAAUUACAAGAAAUACAGCAUAGUUUGACAUCGGCAACAAAUUAAAUCUCUUAUUUUUUAAUUUUCACAUAUUAAAUUCUGAAUAUUUUUAACUCGGUCAUAAUUUCAGCCUUCCGUCAUCAUCUACUUAUGUAACUUGGCUAUACCAAGUUAUUAAUUCCAAAGUAAUUGGAAAAACGAUACCGUAUGAAUUGGACCCAUUUACAAGCCCCUAUUUACGCAAUUUCUGUUUGAAAUUCAGCUUUUGUUUUACUCAAAUUAUAUCACGUUCUUUGAUUCUUCCAUAAGAGGUCUUAAUUAGAAAUUAUGGCUUUCAAAGAAGCCCCAAUUCGUGUGACACUAUUUUCCUUUGUUUUAUCGAGAAUCACUUAAUGGAGGUAGACAGAUUAUUUGAAUUGUGACGAGUUAAAACGUUUAAGGUUUUUUUUGUUAAAAUUGAUAAUAUAUGGCUUAAUUUGUGACCAAGGUCAUUUUCUAAUUAAAAUAUUUUAAUUUUUCAAGUUUUCUAGAUUAAAGAACUUUAAAAAAUACAAAAAACACAAAAAAAACUAAAGUUAAAUGUCUAAAUUAAUUCAAAUAUAUUUUAAAAUCAAUCCUCUGAAAAAAAUUAUUUAGAUUAAUUUAAAUUGUAGUGAUUUUUUUUAUAAAAAAAUACUUUUUCAAUUAUUCUAAUCAAAACAAAUUCGUAUAUAUAUAUAUAUAUAUAUAUUCAAUUUUGAGAAUAAAUUUUGCAUAAUGUUUUUAGUUGUGGAUGAUAUUCGAAACUUAUUUUCUUAUAAUUUUUUUAAAAGUAUUUAAAAAAAUAGAAUAAAAUAAAUCUGAAUACUAAGUGAAAAUUAUAAGUAGUUUUGUAUUUUAUGAUAACUAUUCAACCAGUGUAGCACAAAUCUUUUUGAAAAUAUCUUUUGUGAAAUUAAUUCUGGAAAACAAACAACUCUCAAAAUAAUUAGAUGGAGUCGGGCGGAAACUGACUUUGUUAGGUUCGGCUCACCUCCAAACUCCUACCAUCUCUUCAAAAAUAUCUUUUGUGAAAUAAUUACUAAAACACAAAUAACUCUCAAGGCAGCUAGAUGGGGGUGGCAAAUUGCGAUGUGCCCUUGACUUUGUUGGGUUGGGCUCACCUCCAAAUCAUUAUCUUCUCAAUCUCUUACGUGAAUUUCACUUUCAAACUCACACUGAUAAUCCGAAUUAUUUAUCUCGUAGCCAUCAUAUUAAAGGUAAUCCAUGCAAAAAAUUAGUUUUAUCAAAAUUUAUAAAUAUAUAAACAAUUACAUUUUUAUUAAAAUAAAUAAACGAUUUAAAUUAAUAGUUAUAGCAAUUGUUCAUUUUAAAAAAUAUAAUAUAAUUUGUCCUUAUGUAUAUAAAUAUCUAAUGAUGUUGUAUUUUUGCAUGGAUGAGGAACAAACGAAAGCUACAAAAUAAAUUAUUUAGAUCAUCAUUGUUGACUAGAAACAUAACAAGAGUUUGGAGAGGCACUACAGCAAUGCAACAAUUGGACUGCUCUUAUCAAAGCCACGUCACAAGUCCCGCUGCAAACUUUUUUUUUUGGUCAAUUUCACUUUUAACCUUCAAGUUUGACCUAAGUUUCACUUUAAUUUUUUAUACUUCCAAGUUAAACAAAGGAGUAAACCUUACCAUUUUAGAUAUGGAUGUCAACGGGUCGGGUAUGGGUUAUAAGACCCCUCUCCAUACCCAUAUUCGAAACUAACUUUCAUCAUUGUACCCAUACCCAAAAAUCGACGGAUAUUAGAUAUUGAUACCAAACCAAAAUUCAAUCAAGUAUUCGAGAAUUCGCAUUUACCUAAUACUCGAAUCUAAAAAAAAUAAAAAAAUAAAUUUCAAUCCUCAAAAUACAAAUUUAACAUAUUCAUAUAUUAAAAUUCAACAUAUUUUAUAGAAAACCUUUUUAAAUACAUCACAUAUUAUAAAUUAUUUUUAAUUUAGUUCAUAUAUCACAUAUUACUAUAAAAAAUACUAAUUCAACCAAGUAUAUAUAUCACAUUAUUCAUCAUUUUAACUUUCUUUAUGAUAUAUGUAUGUAUAUCAAAUUCGGAUAUGAUUUGAAUUGGGGUCUGGUAUUCGGAUCUGGAGUAAUCAAACCAUACAUACCCAUACCCAAUUGUGUAUUUCACUUCCCUUACCACACUCGCCUCCAUCGAACGAAAAAUCGAGUAAAAUGUAUACCCAAACACCCAGUUCGUUCAGGUCGUCAUCGAGUUUGAGCGAAACUGUCAUUUCUAGUUUUAAGUUAGUUACAAUGUAAUCCUGUAUUUAACGAUGUUAAUUUUUUUAUGAAAAUGUAAAAUUAUGAGAAUUAAAGUAAAACUUGAGUCAAACGUAAAGAGGUAAAAGUAAAACUAAUCCUUCUUUUUAUUUUCAAGAAACAUUUUAGCUAUAUAUAUAUAUAUAUAUAUAUAUAUAUAUAUAUUCUAAAAUUGAUUGUAGACAACUCAUUAUGCACACUCUCAUGUAAAAUGUACAACUCUUUUAAAUAUGUUAAUUGAUACUCUUAUGACCCUUGUUAACAAAAUUUUUAAAAAAUUAGUGUACAUCGUACAUAAGAAUGUGUGAAAAUGUGUAAUGUGCAAUUAAUUUAAGGGUUGAUUGUAUACUCGAUAAAAUCCUAAAAAAUUUAUAAAUCAUGAAACCCUUUUUAAGUUCUCUUUUUAGGAUUUUGUUAACAAAUGUCCCAAGAGUAUUAAUUAAAAUUUUUAAAAGGGUUGUUAACAUUUUUAAAAAAAUUGUACUUUCUACAUAAAGUGCACGCAAUGUGCAAUCGAGUUUAGUAUUGAUUUUUUUUAAGAGCACUUAUUUUUUUGUUAAAAAUACUUUUUUUUAGAUCUUCAGCGAACUUUUUUUAACUUUUUUUGUUGUUGUUGUUAUUAACUUUAAAUAACCUGGUAUAAAGGCAAGCAAAAAAUAAAUUCGUUUAUAAAAUUAGGAGAAAAAUGGUAUGGACAAAAUUUGGUAGAUUUUUUAAAAAUUUAAUUUAUAUUUAUAACUUUUAGACUAAUGAGAAAAAAUAAAAAUUAAAUAAAAAAUAUUUUUUUCUCAAAAUUAGAUUAAAAAAAUAUGUAAAAAUACGAUUAUAAGCUAAAAAGUUCAUAAAAAAUAUUUUUUCUUUAACACCUUCAAGUUUUAUUUUAGUCUUUAUAGUUCCACCUUUCCGUCAAAAAAUCUAAUACCAUUAUGUACGUAAGGGGUGUAAAAAAAGCCGAAGUCCACUACUGCUCGUGUCGAAUCCCGAAGUAAGCCCGAACCCGCUCGAAAUAUUUGGGUAGGGCCCCUAGGGCUUUGGACCCGAAGCCUGCCAGAACGUACCCUUGGCCCUCGCAGCAGCAACCCCCCUGGUUGCUUUUGUAUGAUAAUAUCUCCAUAGUUAUUACUAAUUUACCAUUUAUUAUGAUAAUAAUAUUACUAAUAUCUAAUAUUUAACUUUAAAUUUUACUCUUUUUUAAUAGUAGGAUAAAUAUACUAUUCAAUUUUGGGAUAAAAAAUAAAAUUUACAUUUCCAUUAUGUUCUUUCCUUUUCUUCCUUUCCUUAAUUUUUUUUAAUAAAAUUUUAACCCAAAACAAAGCAAAAAAUCUCAAUAACUGCCCGCUCAUAGGCCUGAGCUCGAAGUCCGAGCCCGUUAAACCUGGGCUUUCGGCUGGGCCUAAGGAUUUUGGGUGGCCUAACCUUGCCCAAAUUUUGUCGAGAGUCCGAUUGUCACCGCUCGAACCCAAAAAUUUUGGGCCGGGCCGGGUUAGGCAAAAUUUUUUUUGCGCAUAGGGUUAACAUUGCAAUUGGUUUAAAGUUGUAAGGUUUAUUUUGUUCAAAUUGAAACUAUAAAGACUAAAGUAAAACUUGGACCAAAUUCAAAGGAGUAAAAGUGAAAUUGACUUUUUUUUUCAAUCCAGUUUCUCUCUUUUCAUUUCGUUCCCUGACAUUUUUAUCAAUGAAUUGUUUUUUAGAGCCGACCGGCCUUUUGAAUAAAAUUGGAUGGUUUUGAGUCUGCAGUGCAUGCAACUUGAACGGUUUAUCUUGAAGUGUUUGAGAAGAUUAUUAAUGUAAGAAAUUAAGGUUUCGUUUGGUCUAACUAAAAAAAGUAAAAUUUUCUAUUUCUGAAUUAAAAGGAUAAAGUGGAACAAAAAAGUCACGUAUUAUUUAGGGUAUCUAAAAAAACCGAGCUAUUUUAGCUAAUAAUUCUCAUAAACUCAUCCAAAAUAAACAUAAAAAAAAUAAGUUAUUUUAACCCCAAACUAUAAAAUAAACUUAGUCCAAGCAUGGCCUAAUAAAAAUGAUGCAUAUAUGUUGCCAAAAUAUAUAUAAUCUGAUUAUGUGAUUGCUGAUACCUGAUAAACAAAUUUUAAUGAAUAUAAUCUUCUCAAAGGUGCAACAAAAAUAAACAUCUUUAAAAUUUGAACUUUAAAGACUCUACCCUAAUCCUAUUUUUAAGUAUAUUGGAGACUACAAUCUUUUUUUUGUCAUAUCAAUCUACACUACCCUAGUCCCACCCCCCGCUCAAUUAAAACCUAACUCACAAGUACUAAUACACGACUAAUAUUUUACUAUAUGUUUUGCUAGUGAAUCUGUUGCUAAAAAUAAAAGGUCAUUUGGUCAACUAUCCAUAAACAACUAAUCUUAAGUUAAUACAUUUAUCAAAAAAUUUAUUAAGCCCAAAAAUU
rnacentral:lncRNA from 1 species